AUCCAGCUGACGAGUUCAAAAUAGAACGAAAGGCGCGUCCUAGAU
rnacentral:hammerhead_ribozyme from 1 species